rnacentral:lncRNA from 10 species
CGAAUUUCAAAAAUAAUACGCAAGUAAAAGAAGCCAGGAGCAAAAAAAUGUACAUAGUAAAUGAUAUGAUUCCAUUUAUUUCAAAUUCUAGAAUAAUAACCAAGGAUUAUUGAGGAUGAGGAUACAGUCACGUACUGCAUAACGUUUUGGUCAGAGAUGGACCACACAUGACAGUGAUCUUACAAGAUAAUAGAGCUGAACAUUGUCUAUCACCUGGUAACAUGGUAGCUGUUGUACUGCCCUAGAGCAAUGCAUACUUGUGUGUUUGUGGUGAUGCUUGUAUGAACCAACCUACCGCACUGCCAGUCAUACAAAAGUACAGCACAUACAAUUAUGUACAAUACAUAAUCCUUGAUAAUGAUAAUAAAUGACCAUGUUACUGUUUUUUAUGGUUUAGAGUGUACUCCUUCUACAUAUAUAUAUAUUUUAAAUGUUAACUGUAAGACAGCCUCAGGCAGGUCCUGCAGGAGGUAUCCAGAAGAAGGCCUUGUUAUCAUAAUAGGAGAUGACAGCUCUAUGCAUGUAAUUGCCCCUGCAGACCUUCCAGUGGGACAAGAUGUGGAGACGAAAGACAGUGAUAUUGAUGAUCCUGACCCUGUGAAGGCCUAGGCUAAUGUGUGUGUUUGUGUCUUCGUUUUUAACAAAAACAUUUAAAAAGUAAAAAUAUAGGCCAGGUACAGUGGCUCACACUUGUAAUCCCAACACCUUAGGAGGCCAAGACAGGAGGAUUGCUUGAGGCCAGGAGUUCAAGACCAACUUGGGUAAUGUAGUGAGAACUUGUCUCCACCCAAAAAAAAAGUAAAAAAAUU